rnacentral:rRNA from 1 species
AACGAACGCUGGCGGCAGGCUUAACACAUGCAAGUCGAGCGCCCCGCAAGGGGAGCGGCAGACGGGUGAGUAACGCGUGGGAAUCUACCUAGCUCUACGGAAUAACCCAGGGAAACUUGGACUAAUACCGUAUACGUCCUUCGGGAGAAAGAUUUAUCGGAGUUAGAUGAGCCCGCGUUGGAUUAGCUAGUUGGUGGGGUAAUGGCCUACCAAGGCGACGAUCCAUAGCUGGUCUGAGAGGAUGAUCAGCCACACUGGGACUGAGACACGGCCCAGACUCCUACGGGAGGCAGCAGUGGGGAAUAUUGGACAAUGGGCGCAAGCCUGAUCCAGCCAUGCCGCGUGAGUGAUGACGGCCCUAGGGUUGUAAAGCUCUUUCACCGGUGAAGAUAAUGACGGUAACCGGAGAAGAAGCCCCGGCUAACUUCGUGCCAGCCGCCGCCGUAAGAC